UAGCAUGGAAUAAUAGAAUAGGACUUUGGUUCUAUUUUGUUGGUUCUAGGACCGAAGUAAUGAUUAAUAGAGAUAGUUGGGGGCAUUAGUAUUUAAUUGUCAGAGGUGAAAUUCUUGGAUUUAUGAAAGACUAACUUCUGCGAAAGCAUUUGCCAAGGAUGUUUUCACUAAUCAAGAACGGAAGUUAGGGGAUCGAAGACGAUCAGAUACCGUCGUAGUCUUAACCAUAAACUAUGCCGACUAGGGAUCGGACGACGUUAACUUAUUGACUCGUUCGACACCUUAUGAGAAAUCAAAGUUUUUGGGUUCCGGGGGGAGUAUGGUCGCAAGGCUGAAACUUAAAGGAAUUGACGGAAGGGCACCACCAGGAGUGGAGCCUGCGGCUUAAUUUGACUCAACACGGGGAAACUCACCAGGUCCAGACAAAAUAAGGAUUGACAGAUUGAGAGCUCUUUCUUGAUCUUUUGGAUGGUGGUGCAUGGCCGUUCUUAGUUGGUGGAGUGAUUUGUCUGCUUAAUUGCGAUAACGAACGAGACCUCGGCCCUUAAAUAGCCCGGUCCGCAUUUGCGGGCCGUGGCUUCUUAGGGGGACUAUCGGCUCAAGCCGAUGGAAGUGCGCGGCAAUAACAGGUCUGUGAUGCCCUUAGAUGUUCUGGGCCGCACGCGCGCUACACUGACAGGGCCAGCGAGUAUCACCUUGGCCGAGAGGUCUGGGUAAUCUUGUUAGACCCUGUCGUGCUGGGGAUAGAGCAUUGCAAU
rnacentral:rRNA from 1 species